GACGAACGCUGGCGGCGUGCUUAAUACAUGCAAGUCGAACGGAAAGGCGCUGCUCUUGUGGGGUGCUCGUUAGGCGAACGGGGGUGUAUCACGUGUGUAUCCCGUCCCUGUCAGUGGGAGAUCUUUACGAAACUGGGGCGAAUAUCGCAUAGGAUCUAUUGAUGCGUGGGGGUGGAUGGUGAGAUUCGGCGUUGCGGGCUGGAAUCGCAGCAUAUGAGCUUGUUUGUGGGGUAGUGGCUUUCCAGGGCUUUGACGGGUAGCCGGCGUGGGAGGGUGACCGGCCACAUUGGGCCUGAGAUACGGCCCAGACUCCUACGGGCCGCAGCAGUGGGGAAUCUUGCACAAUGGGCGGAAGCCUGAUGCAGCAACGCCGCGUGCGGGAUGACGGCCUUCGGGUUGUAAACCGCUUUCGCCUGUGACGAAGCGUGAGUGACGGUAAUGGGUAAAGAAGCACCGGCUAACUACGUG
rnacentral:rRNA from 1 species